rnacentral:rRNA from 1 species
UCUUGGUCAUUUAGAGGAAGUAAAAGUCGUAACAAGGUUUCCGUAGGUGAACCUGCGGAAGGAUCAUUAUUGAUUGCGAAUCGUUGUCUUCAGUGCUGGCCAGCUCUGGCAAGUGCACGUUGGCGGCUUUUCAUCCAAUACCCCUGUGAACCUUUGGCCUCUUGCUAGCUUUGGCUGGCAGAGGAUUUUUACACCCACUCGAAUGUAAUGAAAUUAUUGUUGUGCGCAAGCACUACUGUACAACUUUCAACAACGGAUCUCUUGGCUCUCGCAUCGAUGAAGAACGCAGCGAAAUGCGAUAAGUAAUGUGAAUUGCAGAAUUCAGUGAAUCAUCGAAUCUUUGAACGCACCUUGCACCCUUUGGCAUUCCGAAGGGUAUGCUCGUUUGAGUGUCAUUGUACUCUCACACUUCUGAUCCUUUUGGAUUGGGAGCGGUGGACUUGGGUGUUUGCUGCUUUACUGCGGCUCACCUCAAAUGCAUUAGUGCAACUCUUGGUUGGACAUAGUACGGCGUGAUAAGUAUCUUCGCCGGCACCUCGCAAGAGGGUGGCUGAUCAGGAGCUCUGUGCUCUCCAACUGUCUUCAGACAACAACUGACAACUUGACCUCAAAUCGAGUAGGACCACCCGCUGAACUUAAGCAUAUCAAUAAGCGGAGGA